ACGCUCGACACCUACGGGAGGCAGCAGUGAGGGAUAUUCGGCAAUGGGGGAAACCCUGACCGAGCAACGCCGCGUGAGGGAAGACGGUUUUCGGAUUGUAAACCUCUGUCCUCUGUGAAGAUAGUGACGGUAGCAGAGGAGGAAGCUCCGGCUAACUACGUGCCAACAGCCGCGGUAAUCUGAGCGGGCUGGCAAGGC
rnacentral:rRNA from 1 species